AUAAUUAAAUCUCUUGAUGCUUUAUUAUAGAACAAGAAAUUAAUCCUUUUGGAGGAGAGGUGCUAUGGGGAUUAACGAUAAAAAGUCUAUACCUGGCAUCCCUUUAUGACAGAGGCUAUAGGCGGAAAGAGAUUGAAUUUUAAGAAGAUGGAAAAGGGAAAAAGAAAACUAGUGAUAAUAAGCAAGAAUGUUAUGCCCUUGCCUUGAGCAGUUGCUUUGAUCUUUGAAGCAAUACUCACCAGUUUGGCAGAAUUAAUUAUACCAUUAAUAGACUUUUUAAAACUUUUGAGGAUAUUUGACUAGUCUCUGAAAUUCAGAGGAUAAUUUAACAAAUCUUUAAAGCCAACAUUGCUUUAUUUUAGCUAAAGUCACUUCAUUUGGUUAUCCAAUUCCUUAUGUGGAUGGCUGGCUGUGUUCUGAAUACACACGUGUGGGUGUGCACACAAAUUCUUUAAAUAUAUUAUAGAAAAUGAAACAUCUGAUGCAUAGAAGUGAGUGAAGUUGAUUUGUAUGUUUAGAGUUCUGCCUUUGGUCAGAAUGUUACUCCAUGGGUUCUUUACAUUGACUGCUUGAUACAGUAUAUCCAAGAUGCCCAGGGGAGUACAAAGAGUAAGAGAGUCCCAUGUCCAGUAUGUUUGCAGUUUGGUGUUAAUGGGGAAGGGGUUGGGGGAUCGUGGUUAAAACUGUAUAAACUGUUAAUUCCAUGAGGAUUUUGAUAGAAAUAGGCAGGAAUAUCUGGUCUUAUCUAAGAAGGCCUGAGAGUACCAGUAAAGGGCUGAAGAGAAGCUAGGCCUUGGUGACUCAUAGGCGUUCACCUCGGCAAAAGGGACCAGGCAUUUUAGGUUGAGAGAAGGUGCACUGUUUGUGAAGUUAGGGCCAAACCCCAUACCCCAACACACACAUAUCUCAUUUUAUUGGACUUUGCAUUUAGCAGGUAUCUUUUUUUUUUUUUUACAAAUUAAAGGUUUGUGGCAACCUUGGGUCAAGCAGUCUUUGGGAGACAUUUUUCUAAUUGCAUUUGCUUACUCUUGUCACAUUUUGGUAAUUCUCACAGUAUUUUAAACUUUUUCAUUGUAUUUGUUAUUGUGAUCUGUGAUCAGUGAUAACUCACUGAACUCUCAUAUAAUGGUUGGCAUUUUUUAGAAAUAUUUUCAAAACCGAGGUAUGUUUUUAUUUUUUUCAGACAAUGCAAUUGCUCAUUUAAUAGACUACAGUGUAGUGUAAAUGGGACUUUUAUAUGCACUGGGAAAACAGAAAAAGUAUGUCACUUUAUUGGUGGUGGUCUGAGACUGAACUCCUCCAUGUCUCUGAGGUAUACUUGUACAUUUUACCUGGGGGAAAAAAGUUACAUGACUGUAGGAAAUAUCUGGAACUUGGUCAGCAGGUUGUCUCACUCAUCUCUUGGAUCAAUGAAGUAAGAAUUUCUCCUUUACAAAGGACAGUUUUAAGAAUGUUUUAAAACAGAGAUUAAGUCUUAUCUAAAAAGAUGAAAGUCUGAGGUGGUUCUGAGAUAAUUUUUAGGACAAAUUAGCUGUUGUAGAAUCUUGUAAAUACUGUAAUAUGAAAACAUAGUUUAUAGUUGUGGUCUUUGCUAGUGAAGUGUAGAAUGAAUUCAUGAUGUUUUCAGUAUGCAAAGGUACUCAAAUAGAAUAUCCACAUAACCAUAAUGCCUCCUGCAUGUCUGUUAUAUCCCAGGCAAUGCUGACUUUAUGUGAUCCUCAGAACAAACCUAUGAGGUUUGUAUCCCUUUUUCACCAAGGAAACUUGCAUAGAGUAACUUGCUCAAGUUGCCUCAGCUAAAUAUGUGGCAGAGCAGGGAUUGUGCCCAGGUCUCUGGUUCAAGAAUGCUUGCUGCUAACCCCUCCUCUCACACCUGGCAUGUAAUUAGACAUACAUGGGUGAUUAAAAAAAAAAACUUCAAGAGGUGUAUUGUCUUCAGACUUUAUAGUACUCUGGCUACUCAAUACUCUGUAAUGAGUUAUAUUUAAUGUGCUCAGACAGAUUUGUAAAAUUAUUAUUUGACCCUAAACAGAAUGAGCAGUGUACCUCAAAUUCACUUAAUUAGCUGUGCCUUCUGCUUCAUCUACCUUUUUGUUGGGUUUUCAUGGUAAUUUAAGUUUUGCAUAAACAUGUACUAAAUUUGCCAUGGGCAAAACGAAGGCUUUCCCAGCUUUAGUCUGAACAUGGAAGGAGGUAUGGGGAAAUAAGAACAGAAAUAUUUUUGUUUUUUAAAUGUUUAUUUGCAAGACAUAAUACCAGGCUUGCAGAGUUUAUUUACUUCCAGGGAAAGGUGAGUGCAUUUUUGUCCUACCAAGAAAAUAAUUUAUUCAAUAUUUUUAGUUACACAUAGUAGUGAAGAUUUAAAAAUUUUAUCAUUUUGUAACAACGUUUCUUGCCGAGUCUUUCUGCCUCUGUAUGAGCAGCUCUUUCAAGGAGGAGUUUACCCUGGUUCAGUUUUUGCUCUGCUUGUUGUCUGCAUGUUCUCCUUCAGAAACACAACCUUCACUCAGGACUUCCUGAGGUACUGUGGAUAACAAAAAUGGACAUGGAUUGUCCUUUUAUGAGAGACAAGGAGAAAACAAUGCCAAGAGAGAGUAGAAGGUGAUCAGCUCAUCACUAGAAUCUCUGGAGAAUAAAAAUAAAGUGGCUCAAGAACAUACUUCAGUGCUCUUCCAUGAAUUGAUCAUCAUUUCUAAACCAGACUUUUAAAAGGAUAGAAUGAUCACCAUGUUGUGUAUGAUAAUGGCAAUAAAGUGUAUUUUUUUAACCAUGAAAA